rnacentral:rRNA from 1 species
UACGUAGGUGGCAAGCGUUGUCCGGAGUUAUUGGGCGUAAAGCGCGCGCAGGCGGUGCGGUAAGUCUCUGGUGAAAGCGCUCGGCUUAACUGGGCGAGGGCCGGGGGAGACUGCCACGCUGGAGGGGAGCAGAGGCGAGUGGAAUUCCGGGUGUAGUGGUGAAAUGCGUAGAGAUCCGGAGGAACACCAGUGGCGAAGGCGGCUCGCUGGGCUCU